CUGACGAGCACGCCGCGUGAGAUGUAGAAGGUCUCUUCGGAUCGUGAACUUCUGUUGUUAGAGAAGAACAAGGGUGAGAGUAACUGUUCAUCCCUUGACGGUAUCUAACCAGAAAGCCACGGCUAAAUACGUGCCAGCAGCCGCGGUAA
rnacentral:rRNA from 1 species